UGCUCUCAGCCUCUCUUCUCUUCCUCUCAGCCGACGAAACCAGAUGAGUUUCUGCUCUCAUCCUCUCUUCUCUUCCUCUCAGCCUAUGAACCAGAUCGAGUUUGAUGAAUCAGUUUCGAUUCAGUUUCUUCAUCAUCUAUAAUAGGAUUGUUAGGGCUUCAUAUAUAGAGUUUAGGGUUUCGUCUUUUCGAUUUUAGUUUGUUCGUCGGAGUUCGAACUUGGAAGAACUGACCUUCACUCUUAGAUAAUCGUGAGAAAGCACCUGUUCUACAUUUUUCAAUUUAGAUGCAGAUGGAAGUUCAUAAGUUGACCGAGAAACUACAAGGGAUUGGGAUUGCUUCUGCUAGUGCUGAUGGUCCCGUCCUUAACAACUUCUAAGGCGGAGUUCAACAGGUAAAGAACAAGUAAAAGGCUUCCUGGUGGAAAGAUUAAGAAGAAGGUAAGUUUUUUUGUGUGAAAUUCCAAUCGGAUUAGUACAUUAGAAAACAUGUUCAGCGUAGUGACGAUGGUGGGUUGUUUAAUGCAGUUAAAAUUGGUGAUUUAGAGUGUGUUGAGAGUCUUUUGAGAAACACAAGUUUGUUAUAACAAACUCGUCUUUUUUGUUUUUCCGUUGGACAUCGCAUUCAGAGUCAAUUGGGUGAAAAGCAUCAUCCUAGUCUUUAUUACUAUUGAAUUUAUAUUGUUUAGAUUGAUCAAGGGUCUUGGCUCUCUGUGUCGGUAUUGAUGUUUCUGAAACUUACACUCUCGUUAGUUGGUGCCAGAAUUUCUCUUUCAUUUAACUAUUUUGUAUCCCCGUAUCUUGAUUAUACUAGGAUAUCUGAUGCACAUAAUUUGUUUUAGGGAAUCCUCAUUUGGUAUGAUUAGGUUUUCAUCUGGUAUAUAUUUGGAUCUAAUCUUUGGCUUUUCUCUAUCUGCAACUGCAAUUGGCAGAACAUUUCCAUUACCGCGCCAAUUUUAUUUAUAAGGAAGUACGGCGGGUUUGGUAGUUUUUCUGGGGUGCGCAUUUGUAUUUGUAAUUUUAAAAACAAUGUGAUAUGUUAAAAGAUUAUGAAUUGGACAAGAAUAUUUUUUCAUGGAUUGUGGCGGUUAGAAAAAGAGCAAUCUUUCUCGGUUUACAGGCGACUUUUGGUAAUGCUAUCUGCUACGUUUCUUUGUCUGGUUUGAAGGUGGUUAGAGGUCAUCCGAAAAUGUGUGACCUUUGUUACUUAAUGGCGGCGAUAUACAAGACUGAAGGCCUUCUUACAAAUUCAGGAGGCAUGGUAUCUUUUUUGGGAUCUCUGAGUUAUAACUCACUGCCUACUUUCUUAGAGAAUGUGAUAGUUUACAUAGUUCUUACAUGUUGAGGUUUGGUUCUUUAGGUAGUGAAUGAUAUUGUGGGAACGUUAGCCCUUGGAAAUUUUCAUGACAAAGACACUCUAGCAGUAUUGAUAAUUGGAACUGGUACUAAUGCUUGGUGUGUGGAGAGAACAGAUGCAAUAAUCAAGACUCAAGGCCUUAUUACAAAUUCUGUAGGCAUGAUAUCUUUUUUGUGAUCUCUGAGUUAUACGCACUGCCUCCUUUGUUAGAGAAUAUGUGAUAGUUUACAUAGUUCUUACAUGUUGAGGUUUGGUUCUCUAGGUAGUGAACACGGAGUGGGGUAAUUUCUGGUCGUCUCAUCUGUCGAAAAUUUCAUACAAUAAUGAUCUAGAUGCGGAGGGUCCUAACCCAUAUUCAUGACCUGAUAGUAUGACUUGAAAAUUGUAAAUAUGCCUGCUUGCAAACGCCAUUUGCAUUUUUGGUUAUGUAAUGAGAGAUCUUGCAGUAUAACUUGUAUUUGCGAGUUACAGGGUACAAAUAUUUUCUCGAUGUUGCAUACAUUAACAAACUGUGAUAAUGCAUAAUAAUUAGUUAACUAUUGUGUUUAAUGUUGCUUUUCAAUUAAGUUUGUACCACUUCCUAUGAUUUCUUACCAUUAUCUCAAUGCCUAAGGGUGCAUAGGAACCGAGCCGGACCACCGGACCGUCCCGGAACCGGUGGAACCGUACUGGUUUUGUAUCGAACCGAGGAAGGGGGUACAUGUACCGGUCCAAAAAUUAAGAACCGGCCUCUGGGGUACAGGUACACGGUCCAAUACAAGUCCCGUGCCGUCCCGGACCGAAUGUACCGAGUAGUAAUAUUCGUUAGAUCUAGGGGUACUAAACUAAUAGUAUCCAAUAGAUUAAAGGUUGGUAUAUAAUCGAGAAAUGAAGCUAGGCUUUCUCAUUUUCGUUUUUUUUUUUUUUUUUGGUUUUCCCGUCUCCUCUCUCUCUCAGAAGGAGAAGAACUCCAUUAGAUUUUUUCUGAAUCUUCUAUUCUCCAUUAGAAGAACUGCACGAACUUGAUUUACUUACCAGUUACACCUCUCGAUCCAGAAGAAGAAGGAGAAAUUUUUAACCAAGGAUUUGUAAUGAAGAUAUCAAAAAGAUUUCUUCCUUCUCUACAAGAGUUGAUUGAUUUGGCUUGGAUUGUAAAUCCACCAAACUGAGUUACUGGGUCCUAUCAAAACCACCAGUGCAGCCAUGGAAUAGAUCUCCACAACGACUUCAUCACCAAUGCUACAACUUCAACUAAUUUUCUAUUAGUUGUUAAGACAAAAAAACUUAAGAAUUAAGACUAUUGUAGAUUUCUAGUAUUGUUCAUUUGUUUGUGUUGGUCAGUGUGUGUGUUUGUGUGCUACUUGUUAGUUGUUAUUUUUUCCGAUUUUCAAGACUUUGGUUGUUUGGCACUUUGGUUUGCUAGUAUUAUUACUACUUGUUAGUUGUUACUUUGUUCUUUGAUUGAGAUAUUGCUUAAUAAAUUAAAAAAC